UAUAUUUUUGUCUGUUUUGAAUGUGUAUUGUUUAAUCGUUGGAUUUUUUUUUGUUAUAAUUAGUUUGUACAUUUGUGGUAACGAGGUCUUUUAUUUUGAAAUGUAUCCACUUAAGCAUAUAUAUUGUGGCGUGCUCAAAGCAUUGUAGUAAGGAGCGCACAUGGUUGAUUCAUCCAAAGGCAUACGGUUAAAGAGAACUUAAAGGAUUUAACUCCUGGUUUAAGUGGAGAAUAAGAUGGACCGUCGCUUCAGGAGAUGGGCUAAUGGCAACCCGAAUCUGACUGAUACAGUGAAAGCUUGAAAGGUGAAGGAAGCCAACAAAGGAAAGCCAUACGCAAGACCCCUGUUCCUGGAGAAAGUGCUAGACAAAGCCAAGAAAAGUUUAAGUGAGCAUCACGGAGAUCGGUCUAACAGAAAGUGGGGGGCUGAAAAUGCCCUGGGGUAUGCUGCUUACCUGGUGGCAGCUAUGAAGAGGGACCCCACAGGAGGCAGCAAAGACACCAAAGAACAUGCCCACAACAAGGGGAGUUUCAGGGAGUAUAUUGAGCUCUUUUCUUCUGGCAGAAUUGCCAUUGCCAUGAAUGAAGAGCAAUAUGCUGGGAAAGCUCCCCAGCAUGCUGCUGACUCCCAGCACUCUGCCCCCACAGAGUUCACCACCCCCACCCAGCAUGCUACCACCACCCAUACUUCUACUGCCUCUCUCCGCUCCCUCUUGGAUAGGAAGUUGCCUAACCAGAACAAGACUGUAGAAAGACUGAAUUCCCCCCUCAAAGUCGCACCUUCUUUGGCCCAGGCACACACCCUGCCUGAAGUUGACCAGAGGUGGAUCUCCAAGGUCCUGUUCUGGUGGACAGCACAGGGGCAUCCUGAGCUGGUAUUUAGUAGGGUGAACAAACGUUGGUGUUAUCCUCCACUGGUGCCACUGAAGACCAGUAAUUCUCCUUCCUUGGAUAAGGAUCAUAUGAUCAGGCAGGUGGUUGGGUGAGAUGUACUUUGUGGCAUCUGAGUACCUGGCCUGCCGAAGAUGUAAGAGGAAGGUCAUCAGCUGGAGCCAUGAUCUCGUUUCCCAGCUCGACAUUGGCGACAAGGUGCUGUUCCCUUUCAUUCUAACAUUAAAACUUGCAUGUGACUUCGAGGUAAUAACUUUGAUGCGUCAGCGAGGGCUGGGAAACAGCUGCAGGAGCGUCAUGUUGAUGUCUGGUUGCAAAAGAGGAUUGCCAGAGCUGUGACGUCGAGCCUGAUCCUGCCUGUGACAUUUGAACCUGCUCCUUCAAUGCCUUCUAUACCUAAGCGCUGAUGCAGGUGUAUGCCCAGGAUGUCCUGCAAAGGCUUGAUGAGGUCAAGGCCACUAUAACAUAACAAUAUGGUAAAAUCUUAAAAAAAUUUAUUCUACCAAAAAAUUGGCCAGAAAACUAGCAGGACGCAGCUAUGGCACUGCUACUUGGGCAACUAAUGUUGGCAAUGAGCAUGGACAGGUGAUCAUCAAGGUUUUGGUCUCGGGCCAAUGAUUGAAGGCCUUAUCAAGCGAUACAGAGUGGCUGGGGUGGCUCCUCCCGAAGUGCUGUAUGUCGACCGAGACUGCUGUGGCUACACUCUUUUGUGGAGGAUGUUUGAAGAGUGGGAGCAAAUGACCAUCUGGUUAGAUGUAUAGCACUUCAUGCGGACGUUUGCUGUGGGUUGCACCACCGACUCUCACCAGUUAUAUGCCACAUUUAUGAGUCGCCUCAGCCGUUGUAUUUUCAUGUGGGACCCGGUCGACCUGGCGGCCCUGAAGACAGCGAAGCAUGCAGAUCUAGAAGCUGAUGGGAAACCAUCAUCCGAGGCUGAUGUGCUACGCUGUAUCAGUCGUAGCGAGCUAGAGCUACAUUGCAGGAGAACCACUGGUGGGACCAAAGAGACCCUGGCACUGAUUGAGAGCGAUGUUCAGCCCUUUGAUGGAGAUGCUGGUCGUGACACUCUGGGAAUCCCACUAAUAAACUCAGCCCGUAUGAGAGAGAUUUUAAAGUCCCAGCGGAAACAUGUGGCCUGCAUCCAGGAUCCUGCCGUUGUGCAGCUCUACAUGCAGACGGGUACUGUAAUGAAGAGCAGGCACCGCCUGCCAACCACUCCAGUCAUUUCACCUGCACCUUAACAGAUUCAUCCCAGGUACGCUGGCAAGUGACAGCUUCUUUCAGUCAUAUCUUUUGGAUGGACUUGCAAUGUGGAAUGAGGACCGGGCAGUGGCAGCAACCAACGUUCCUACAAUCAUCUUCUGCGUCAUGCGGUCAACACUCUUGCAGAGGAGCUUAUUGGCAUGAAAAUCAUCCCUUAUGUUGGGCCAAGAAAGUACACUGGUGAGCUUAUUGGAGUGGAAUAUCUUUACAAGCAAACUGGUAAAGUUCUGCAGGACUACAAGUUGGCCAUUGAAGAGUCAGAGUAUACCACUGAGGUUGGUAUUGAGGUGGAUGAAGGAUAAGCUGAACUUGAGGAGUUUCAGGACAUCACCGUCCUCACCUUUGACACCUGCUGCCUCUUCACAAGCAUCAGUGUCUGCAGCAUCAUCUCCAACUCCUCCAGCAACCAGCCCCACGUCAUCACUGUUUGUGUUCCCUCCAUCAGUGUCAUCUCCUGUCAGCAGCUCACUGCACACUCAAUCAAAUCUAGAACUCUUUCCUGGAGCACAUAGCUUGGACCGAUUAUCUUCAGAAAUGGAUCGUCCAACAUCGGAAGAGAACACUUCAUAAUCUUUAGGGUUAUGGAGCCGUGCAAGACUUGGCAGAGUUUUUGGUUAGCCACAGAGAGCACCGUCUGGCUUUGUCAGGAGAAGAGUGCAUCAAGAUCAUCUCCUUAUGGCAGGUAUUGGGGGAGUAUGACAAGAAAAAAACCAUUUAUCCACCACGUCACCAAACCCACCUAAAACAGGGACGAUUCAGGGCCACUAAGAAGAUUGUGGCCCCAGGUGUGGAGAGAACCAAAAGGCGUUUCGUUGGGGCUCAUCGUCCUGCACAGUGGCCUGACUGACUGCAACCAAGUGGUGGAGGCCAUUUUCACAAGGCUCUGUGCUCUCUACCCAAGAGUGCAUCCUCACCAGUGCUAAGAUCAUGAGUGAGACCACCAUCCAGCUCCCAGAAGUGAAUGCUGUAACAGUCACACAAUGCACAUUUUGCUGAGGACAGCUUCCUCAGUCUCCAUCAGUUUAAUGCCGGAUUCG